AUUGACAAUUCAAAUAUUACAUGGUCACUUUCCCCCAGAGUUCCCAUGGUUGUUAUUUUGCCCACCAGGCCAUCCCUGUUAGUAUUAAAUCCAGUAUAGCUGAUCCUCUCGUACCUUCCUCUACUUUCUGCUGGAGAAAGUUGUCAGCAACACAUGUCAGCAAUCUCUUGAAAGGGCCAUGCUUGGCAGAAUUUGUCUCCCAGUAUAUAUCGGGGAAAUUGAAGUACCCCAUAGUGACUACAUCAUUCUUCUUGGAAAUGCUGGCAAGUUGCUUUUCAAAGGUUGCAUCCUUGACCUCUUUUUGACUGGGUGGAUGGUAAUAUAUGUCAACAAUUAUGUUUUUCUUAUUUUUUGCUCCCUUUAAAUUUAGCCAGAUGCUUUCAGUGGACUACUAAGUUCUUCUUGAAUUUUGUGCUGAUAUAUGUAUCUCUCACAUAUAUGUGUCAUGUAAACUGGCUCUUCCCUUUAGAUGUU